UACGGAGGGUGCAAGCGUUGCUCGGAAUUAUUGGGCGUAAAGGGUAGGUAGGUGGUUUCAUUUGUCUGGGGUGAAAGCCUUGAGCUUAACUCAAGAAGUGCCCCAGAAACGGUGAGACUGGAGUCCUGGAGAGGGUUGUGGAAUUCCCGGUGUAGCGGUGAAUGCGUAGAUAUCUGGAGGAACACCGGUGGCGAAGGCGGCAUCCUGGACCGAUACUGACGCUGAGGAGCGAAAGCCAGGGGAGCAAAAACGGG
rnacentral:rRNA from 1 species